rnacentral:piRNA from 1 species
UGGGCAAAUGUCCUCAAGCUCGGGGA